GUCCCGGUAGCUCAGAUGGAUAGAGCGAUUGCCUCCUAAGCAAUAGGUCGAGGGUUCGACUCCCUUCCAGGACGCCA
rnacentral:tRNA from 1 species